ACUGUUGAAUUUCGGCACUUCCAGUAAAGAAAAAAAACAGAACUUCCAAAUUUCUUCUCUUUCUUUGAUCUUUGCCAUUGGUUCAUUCCGCAUUUGGGUUUUGUUCCUUGAUUCAAUUAUUUCUUGUGGGUUGGCGGUGGCUUAAUCUCGGUUGCUCUUGCGAAUUUAAUUUUUCGGGUAUUGAAGGGUGAUAGUCAAGGAAUUCGGAACUCUCAUUCUGUGAGUUAGUUAUCUUAAAGGCUGCUGUGGACAUUGGGUGUUGGAUAUCGCAUGGUUGUUUUCACAUUAGAAUCGAACCAGGUAUGUAACGAGAAACUUAAAAAUUAGCGAACUACGAAAGCCAAAAAAUAACACUGUCGAUGCCACACGGUCGUAUGUCAGGCCAUGUGGUAGGCUGUGUGCAACAAACUGUUGCGUGAUGGGCUUUAUACUAGACCGUGUGUGACACUAGUCUAGGCUAUUUGGGCCGUAUGGGUCUAAAAUUCAGGUUUUUUCCUAGGGUCGUACACGUCGUCCCGAUUGACCAUGGGCCUUCCGUAGGGUCAAUAUGUGAUUAAAUAUAAUAUAAAACAUGAAAUUUUGUCGUGUUUCAAAUCUCAUAUGGUGUGUUAGGAUGGUCUGAGAUGCUGUGUAGUGGUUGGGGGUAGGAAAUAUA